ACACCUUUUCUUAUCUAUAAGUAUAAUGAUGUGAUUUUGUAUCUCAUAAAAAGCUUCACUUAUGGCUGGUUUUAGUUGUAUUCCGAAGACUGUGCUAAGACAUAUACAUCCAUAAAGUGAUUUACCAUCUAACUUUAAAAAAGAACAUUUGACAAUCUAUUUGUAGGUAUAGAAACCAAAAUGAAGUAACUGAUCCCAUAAAGUACGAUAUAUAAAAUAACAUUAUCUUUAUUUAAUCUGAAAUGUGGGCUUGUUCAAAGGUGACAACAUCAAAAAUGUGCUUACAUCAUCAUUUUGAUGUAUACCUAUGUGAAUGUAAUAUAGCUUUAGAUUGUUAAUACUGAUGUUCAAGUGCCUCCUAAUUUCAAAGAGAAGAUGAAUAAGAGAAAAUGGAAGUUUUGUAAGUCAGUCAACUCAACCAUAAAAUGCAAAUAUGGUGUUAAAGGAUGUCACCGAAAAUGGCGUUUUAUCUCUUUACCUCUGCCUCAUAAUGACAAUUUGAUAAUUUCA